ensembl:piRNA 21ur-9432 ncRNA
UUAUUCAAUAAGAAUCCUUUU